rnacentral:autocatalytically_spliced_intron from 1 species
ACUACUCAGGAGCCUGAAGCAGGAAUUUAUGAAGUCCAAAGCCUUCCUGAAGUACAGAGUACAAGGCCAGCCUUGGGCAACCCUGUCUCAAAAUUAGGAGAAAGAGAAUGAAGCUCAGGGGUGGGGUUCUUGCCUAGCAGGUGUGAGGCCCAAGGUUUGCUCCCCAGUAACACGCACAUGAGUAUGUGCAUACACGCGCUCACACGCACAGCUGUGCUGCAAUCAGAUGCAGUGUGCAUCUAGGCUUACUGUCACAUCCUAAUCUCUGCAUUUCCAUUCCUCAUCCGUAUUCUACCUUACAUGAGUAAGUGUCAGAACACUGGGAUCUUGGAUGCUGCGGGAGGACAUGGUGUGUCCUGUUCUGAGUAGUCAGUACAUACUUUGUUCCUCGUCACACUCAGAGGAGUCCUCUUCCUGGGGUGAUGGAGAGCGUUCUCCAUGGCAUGGUUAUGCAGAUGGUAAUACUUGGGUGUGACGACAGGGACCUGGACUUCACCAUUACUUACACGGCUCUGGAACAACCUCAUUCCAGAUUCUUCCUAUCUAGAGAAUGAACAAUUUAGGGCAUCUCUAACCCACUUAAAGAGGUCAGGAAAAGCUGGGCAUAGUGGUACAUGCUGUAAUCUCAACACCUGGGAAGAUGAGACAGGAGAACUGCUAUGAGCUGAGACUAGCAUGGGCUAUAUAGGGACAGUCAGAGACACUUAACAAACCCAUGUCUCAAAACAAAGGCUGAGAAGAGCUUAAGGAAAGCAAAUGGACACACUGAGAACCUUCCUGGAGACUCCUUAGGAUCUUGAACCAUGGAAAGUGGCUAAAAUGUAAAGUUGGGACGUUAACUUUGUAAAGUUAGAGGCACUGCAUUAAGCAAACAAAGGGAGGUCAAGGGAGGAGAGAUGGCUGCUUAUAGUUGACGCAAUGUGUUGAAUAUGGUUUCUGAUACUCUGGGCAAGAAGGACACUCUGAACUUUCCCUUCCUCAGAAGCUGAGUGUCUCCGCUGGCAGUGAGGAAGCAGCAGAGGACGCAGAAUGGGGAGUCAGAAUCACAGGAAAUGCUUGGUAGCUCCAUUCUGAAGGGCGUGCUACUGGGAAUCAGGAGCCUGGAUCUGCUCUGACUUACUUUAUAAACCCAUCUCUCAGGACCCUGGGUUAUUUCCUCUGAUGCCUCCUUUGCUUUUUCAGGGGAGUGGGCUGCCAGGCUCCACCUGCUCAUUAGAUGAACCGGGUAAGGUAGCUUGAGGACAGCAGGUGCAGCAAAGAGCAUUAGAGACCAGCUGAGAAGCACUGGGGCAGGGAAGGCCUCAGAUGGAGGUAGACUCCACAGCUAUCUUAGCAGAGGGAUCCUUUGUGCUAGGAGAAAUGUUAUAGGGGAUAGUAUAGAUCAGUAAGGCCUAACAGACUCAUCAUCCUAGUGAUGAGACAAUUUUAGGUACCAGAGACAUAAUAGCCAACAAUACAGGCACAGAAGGGUAAAGAGGAAUUGGAAAGCAGGCUGAGAAGAAUCUGCUAAAGCCACCGGGGCUGCUGAACCCCUCCCUCCACAGAUACCCUUUUCUGAUGUUGUGCCCCCUUCUCUCUUAUCAGCGGACCCUGCAGUGCAGACAGAUGGCAGCCCUCUCUGCUGUCAUUUCCACUUCAGCCCCAAGGUGAUGUUCACCAAGGUACUGAAGGCCCAACUGUGGGUGUACCUUCGGCCUGUGCCCCGCCCAGCCACAGUCUACCUGCAGAUCUUACGACUGAAACCCCUAACUGGGGAAGGGACCGCAGGGGGAGGGGGUGGAGGCCGGCGUCACAUCCGUAUCCGUUCACUAAAGAUUGAGCUACACUCACGUUCCGGCCACUGGCAGAGCAUCGACUUCAAGCAAGUGCUACACAGCUGGUUUCGCCAGCCACAGAGCAACUGGGGAAUCGAGAUCAACGCCUUUGAUCCCAGCGGCACAGACCUGGCUGUCACCUCCCUGGGGCCAGGAGCUGAGGGGCUGCAUCCUUUCAUGGAGCUUCGAGUCCUAGAGAACACGAAAAGGUCCCGGCGGAACCUAGGCCUGGACUGCGAUGAACACUCGAGUGAGUCCCGCUGCUGCCGAUAUCCUCUCACAGUGGACUUUGAGGCUUUUGGCUGGGACUGGAUCAUCGCACCUAAGCGCUACAAGGCCAACUACUGCUCCGGCCAGUGCGAAUACAUGUUCAUGCAAAAGUAUCCACACACCCACUUGGUGCAACAGGCCAACCCAAGAGGCUCUGCUGGGCCCUGCUGCACCCCUACCAAGAUGUCCCCAAUCAACAUGCUCUACUUCAAUGACAAGCAGCAGAUUAUCUACGGCAAGAUCCCUGGCAUGGUGGUGGAUCGAUGUGGCUGCUCCUAAGUUGUGGGCUACAGUGGAUGCCUCCCUCAGACCCUACCCCAAGAACCCCAGCCCUGGUCCCCAUUCCUCAAGCCCUAGAGUGCUCCUCCCCCACCUCUUCCCAUGAACAUCACACCUUGUUCCCUGACCAAGCAGUGUGCAAUACAACAGAGGGAGGCAGGUGGGGAUGGAGGGGGGAGGGGUUGGGAGAAGAGAAGGGCAGUCAGGGUGGGAUGUAUCUGAGAUUUGCAGGUGAGAAGGUUUGGCAAGAAGACAGAUGUAGGGACAGAGGAAGAAGAUGGAUGGAUAGAGACAAGAGGACAGACAGAACACUGAGAAAGCAAAGGAACAGAGAGGCAAAAAGAUUAGAGACUAAGCAGACAAGUAGAGAGAUUGAAAUGGGAGUAAGCAGAGAGCCCUGCCCCAAGCCUGUUUUUCCACAGCAAGGUGAGAGGCUUGGUAUAGUUUGGGGGAGUUCCCCUGACAACUCAGUAGGAGUAAGUCAGAGUCCAUUCUUAGCUUUUUCCCUCUCUCCUUCCAGUAGCAGCCGGAAGUGGACCGAGGAUGGGGCAAAGUAAGGACCUGGGAGGGUUUUUUUUUUAAUUUAUUUAUUUAUUGUGACUUUUUGUUUUUUGGUAUUUGGCUUUACUGGAAUGGGAGGGACCUUGCCCACUGUGCCCCAUUGGUCCCUUAUUCCCCAAACCCUGCUCUUCCCCAAUACCAAUCUACUUAAGCACUUGUAUUAAGCCUCCAGGGUUGGGAAUGGGGGUAAAGGGCAAGAGGGCUGACACAUGGAGGUUUCUAACCCAUAAUCACCCUGACCAACGUUCUCGAGGCAAACGGGUUGAACUGAGUGGUCAUGGAAACAGAAGUUCAGACUUUAAAGCUGGGGGUGGGGUGGGGGGUGACCUCAACAUCCGGGAUCUAUGAGAGCUACUAAACUACCCCUCAGGCCUACCUUAUUCGUGGCAUUAUUUAGCCAGAGGGUAUAUAGCCUACUUAUCCCCAAAUUCCCCUCAGCCAAGAGACCAAAGAGCCUGUGGAAUGCCCCUGCUCUCAGCCUCUAUCUUCAGGUCAAUAAAAAUUAGAAAUCCC